CUGGGCUUAAAUGUAGAGUGCAUGAGGGGGAAACCUCUCUUUCCUUCGGGACUCUUUACAAGGUGCUGCAUGGUUGUCGUCAGCUCGUGCCGUGAGGUGUCGGGUUAAGUCCCAUAACGAGCGCAACCCCUACUUCUAGUUGCCAUCAGGUAAUGCUGGGGACUCUAGAGGAACUGCCUACGCAAGUAGUGAGGAAGGUGGGGAUGACGUCAAAUCAGCACGGCCCUUACGUCCAGGGCUACACACGUGCUACAAUGGUCGGUACAGAGGGCAGCUACCACGCGAGUGGAUGCAAAUCUCCAAAGCCGAUCUCAGUUCGGAUCGAAGUCUGAAACUCGACUUCGUGAAGUUGGAUUCGCUAGUAAUCGCGCAUCAGCCAUGGCGCGGUGAAUACGUUCCC
rnacentral:rRNA from 1 species